rnacentral:rRNA from 1 species
GAAUGGUAAAUAGCAGCAAUGCUAUGAGAAUGGCGAACGGGUGAGUAACACGUAGGUGAUCUGCCCUGGAGAUGGGGAUAGCCUGUGGAAACACAGGGUAAUACCGAAUAAGCCCACGACCUUUUGGGGAUGUGGGUAAAGGCGCUAAGGCGCCACUCUGGGAGGAGCCUGCGGCUGAUUAGCUAGUUGGUGGGGUAAAGGCCUACCAAGGCGACGAUCAGUAGCCGGCCUGAGAGGGUGUACGGCCACACCGGAACUGAGACACGGUCCAGACUCCUACGGGAGGCAGCAGCUAAGAAUCUUCCGCAAUGGGCGAAAGCCUGACGGAGCGAUGCCGCGUGAACGAAGAAGGUCGAGAGAUUGUAAAGUUCUUUUAUGAGAGAGGAAUAAGUGUGGGAGGGAAUGCCCGCAUGAUGACGUUACCUCAUGAAUAAGCCCCGGCCAAUUACGUGCCAGCAGCCGCGGUAACACGUAAGGGGCGAGCGUUGUUCGGAAUUAUUGGGCGUAAAGGGCGUGCAGGCGGUUUGACAAGUCUGAUGUUAAAGACCUGGGCUUAACUCAGGAAAUGCGUUGGAAACUGUCAGACUAGAAUCUUGGAGGGGGAGUUGGAAUUGCUAGUGUAGGGGUGAAAUCUGUUGAUAUUAGCAAGAACACCGGUGGCGAAGGCGAACUCCUGGCCGAAGAUUGACGCUGAGGCGCGAAAGCGUAGGUAGCAAACAGGAUUAGAUACCCUGGUAGUCUACGCUGUAAACGAUGUACACUUGGUGUUGGGCCGUUUAGGUUCAGUGCCGUAGCUAACGCGAUAAGU